CAGGAAUUUAAAAAGCGCCAAUAUAUUCCACAGUGCUGUAGAAUUAGGGGGAAACAGUACAAUAUACACAGACCAAAACAAACGGUAGAGAGUGCCCUGCCUGUGAGCAGAGAUGUAGCCAUUGAUGCUCUUUUAUACAAAAUGCUAGUUACAUAGACUGUCAGCUUACAAUCUAAAGUGUACUUUCCAAAACUGAACACUAGGUGGGAGUAUAGGCACAUAAAAUGGGUAAUAGUUGACCUAUAAUGUAUUUUAAAUGAGCCUGGAUACAUUAACAGAAGAUUUCAAAAUGCCUUGCUUGCCUCCAGCUUGCAGCUUGCUGAAAUGGGCAAUAUAAAAUGAAGAACCUUUAGUGGUUUUAUUAACAAUACAAAGUGCUGGGGGCGGGGCCUGACACAUCGUGGCAGAGCUCCGGGGUUGAAACCCUAAUUUGCCCGAUAAAAUUGCGAAACUCUGUCUCAAGCGACCCACACACAAGCUGUGCACUCUCCAGAACCCCUGUGACUAUGUAGCUGCAGUAAUCUCGCUGGCGGCUUCAGGCUUCAUCACGGGACAAGGUUGCAGCCUGCGGGCGGCUAGGUGGCCGCUCUCCUCGCUCCCCAGUGGUCAGAAUGGACCCAUCCUGUUUGUACCCCCUCCCUCUGGACCAGUGGGGGAUAUCCCUGUCAACAACAUGGUGCUGACCCACCUGUGCGGCACCUGACGGCUCCCGUGAAGAUGACUCCCUGUGACUGGCGGGCUAAGAUGGGUGCCGAGGAAGUACCCACAGCCUUGGGCCUUACAUGCAGAAUGCCUGGAUAGGGCUUUCAAGCUCUUGUGGUCCCAAUUCUGGCUCCGAAUCGAAGGCCAAAGGACGAGAUCCAAGGCAGCAG